rnacentral:rRNA from 1 species
GACGAACCGUGCGAACGUUAUUCGGAAUCACUGGGCUUAAAGCGCGUGUAGGCGGGCCGGCACGUCGGUCGCUGAAAUCCCCCGGCUCAACCGGGGAAGGGGCGCCGAUACGGCCGGCCUGGAGGGACGUAGGGGGGGCUGGAACUUCCGGUGGAGCGGUGAAAUGCGUUGAGAUCGGAAGGAACGCCCGUGGCGAAAGCGGGUCUCUGGACAAUUCCUGACACUGAGACACGAAGGCCAGGGGAGCAAACGGG